rnacentral:rRNA from 1 species
UACGAAGGGUGCAAGCGUUAAUCGGAAUUACUGGGCGUAAAGGGUGCGUAGGCGGUUCGUUAAGUCUGUCGUGAAAUCCCCGGGCUCAACCUGGGAAUGGCGAUGGAUACUGGCGAGCUAGAGUGUGUCAGAGGAUGGUGGAAUUCCCGGUGUAGCGGUGAAAUGCGUAGAGAUCGGGAGGAACAUCAGUGGCGAAGGCGGCCAUCUGGACUAACACUGACACUGAGACACGAAAGCGUGGGGAGCAAACAGG